rnacentral:rRNA from 1 species
GCACAAGCGGUGGAGCAUGUGGUUUAAUUCGACGCAACGCGAAGAACCUUACCUGGGCUCGAAAUGUAGUGGAAUCCGGCAGAAACGUCGGCGUCUAGCAAUAGACCGCUAUAUAGGUGCUGCAUGGCUGUCGUCAGCUCGUGUCGUGAGAUGUUGGGUUAAGUCCCGCAACGAGCGCAACCCUUAUCUACAGUUGCUACCAUUUAGUUGAGCACUCUGUCGAAACCGCCUCGGAUAACGGGGAGGAAGGUGGGGAUGACGUCAAGUCCUCAUGGCCUUUAUGUCCAGGGCUACACACGUGCUACAAUGGCCGAUACAAACCGCUGCAAACCCGCGAGGGGGAGCUAAUCGGAAAAAGUCGGCCUCAGUUCGGAUUGGAGUCUGCAACUCGACUCCAUGAAGCUGGAAUCGCUAGUAAUCGUGGAUCAGCAUGCCACGGUGAAUACGUUCCCGGGC